ACCCAGCCGGAAAACAUUCAGUCUGGUAAAACAGCUUGACUGCAGCAGAACACCCUUUCGGAAUUCAAAUUAAAUAAAGUUAUAAAUUCAAAAUUUAAAGUGAAACAACAGAGACUCUUCAACAUGUGGUUUCGUUCGGGAACACAACAGAACCUCGUACCUCGAGAGUCUUAGAUGGGAUGUAAUACAUCAUCCACUAAUACACUCUUGCCAUUGCCAGUCGAUGGCUGAUGGCAAUGGCAAUCGAAGUGUGGCUCUUCGUAAGUAGGUUUUCCCCAUUCCCCAUUCUCACCAUUACCAUGAACUCACUCGAAGUCUGAAUCUCGCAGCAAAGGAACAAGACUCGACCCGGGAGACGAGUCUAUGCACUGAUGGUACCCGUCCCGCCGGACGCGCAGUUUGCAUCGGUCGCUGUUCCUUCCACACACACCUUUACAAAAAACUGAUAAACGUCUGACUACUUGCUAAAAAAAAAAAAUACAAAACAGAUAAUAAAAUAAUGUUUUUUUUUCGUUAGAUAAA